UGACCUCGGAUCAGGUAGGAAUACCCGCUGAACUUAAGCAUAUCAAUAAGCGGAGGAAAAGAAACCAACAGGGAUUGCCCUAGUAACGGCGAGUGAAGCGGCAACAGCUCAAAUUUGAAAUCUGGCUACUUCGUAGUCCGAGUUGUAAUUUGUAGAGGAUGCUUUUGGUGAGGUGCUUUCUGAGUUCCCUGGAACGGGACGCCAGAGAGGGUGAGAGCCCCGUACAGUUAGCAACUGAUCCUUUGUAUAGCUCCUUCGACGAGUCGAGUAGUUUGGGAAUGCUGCUCUAAAUGGGAGGUAUAUCUCUUCUAAAGCUAAAUAUAGGCUAGAGACCGAUAGCGCACAAGUAGAGUGAUCGAAAGAUGAAAAGCACUUUGAAAAGAGAGUUAAACAGCACGUGAAAUUGUUGAAAGGGAAGCGCCUAUGACCAGACUUGUUUCUAUCAGUUUUGGUAGUUUUCGGACUGCUUUACUCUGUUAGUACAGGCCAA
rnacentral:rRNA from 1 species